GACGAACGCUGGCGGCGUGCUUAACACAUGCAAGUCGAGCGGAAAGGCCCUUCGGGGUACUCGAGCGGCGAACGGGUGAGUAACACGUGAGUAACCUGCCCCAGACUUUGGGAUAACCCUCGGAAACGGGGGCUAAUACCGGAUACGACACAGCUUCGCAAGGGGUCUGUGUGGAAAGUUUUUCGGUUUGGGAUGGGCUCGCGGCCGAUCAGCUUGUUGGUGGGGUGAUGGCCUACCAAGGCGACGACGGGUAGCCGGCCUGAGAGGGCGAACGGCCACACUGGGACUGAGACACGGCCCAGACGCCUACGGGAGGCAGCAGUGGGGAAUAUUGCACAAUGGGCGCAAGCCUGAUGCGGCGACGCCGCGUGAGGGAUGACGGCCUGCGGGGUGUAAAACUCUUUCAGCAGGGACGAAGCGUAAGUGACGGUACCUGCAGAAGAAGCGCCGGCCAACUACGUG
rnacentral:rRNA from 1 species